CCACUAUCCAUCAUUAGAUUGGUGAUUCGGACGGAGAGUGUUGAAUUCAUGCCUUUCUACUUGACUCUUUCAACCUUCUUGAUGAGUAUCUCAUUUUUCUCAUAUGGGGUGCUAUUGGAUGACCUCUUUAUUUAUUUUAUGUAUGUUGCAGAUUCCUAACGGGGCUGGAUUGAUCUUGGGGGUUAUACAGUUUUUGUAUUCCUAUUACAGUAGGAGGUCCAGUGAAGAUUCUAGAUUGCCA